UUGUAUUGCAGGAAUGCCAGGCAGACAAAGCAUGGCCACUGUGGUUGGAAAAGGUCCUGGGAUUAGAUAAAACAGAGACAGUCUCUAACCCUGUGGUUUGAGUGGCUUUGUCAGGGCCCGUGAGGGAUUCCAACCCCCAUACAUGGUCUACUUCUAGAUCUGCCUUUCCAGAGGUGACCAGGCUGGUCUGCCCCUCACUAUCAUGUCCCCAUUCUUGUACCUGAUCAUAUUCUGUUUCCUGUCUACCUACCACCAGACCAUGUUGCUGCAUGCUCCUCCUCCAUUCUGUAAGGUUGGUGUCAUAUUUAAAGAACAUGCAUUAAAACUCAGAAAUCAGUAUCGCUACAGUACUGUCUGCUGGAAGGCUUAAUCCAGAUGUUCCCGGCUGUCUCCUAAUGCCCCUUUACUGCUCAACAUCCAACCUGGCACCUCUCCUCUCACUGAGUUGCCACAUCACUUCAGUCUCAUCCAAGGUGUAUUAUAUUCCUUGUUUCCCCAAGACCUCGAUGCUUAAAGAACACCAAUCACGUGUUUGGACCCUGUAUGUGACUUGGUCUAAUGUUCUCUUGGGACUGGACCCAGGAUGUGAGUGUCGGGGGAGGCCACCAUUGAGGGGCACUGCUCUUAUUAUGGCAUCACAGGGCACUGUGUGCUGUCAGUGUGACCCAUUACUGCUUGCUGACCCCUUAGACAGCUUGAUUGAAGCAAUGCCUGCCAGCUUCCUCUGCUGUAAAGACACACUGUUGUCCUCUUCCCGACCCUGGUCCAGCCUACACUAUAGUAGACAGCAUGGUGCCAACUGUCUUUCCUCCUUUCAUUUCGGGUCUCCCUCACCGGCCUGGGGGUCACUGAUGGAGGCAGAAGUGUGUCCCAUUCAUUUCUGAAGAGCAGCCCAACUCCAGCAAACAGG